rnacentral:tRNA from 1 species
ACCUGAAUAGCUCAGUCGGUAGAGCAUCAGACUUCUAAUCUGAGGGUUCAGGGUUCAAGUCCCUGUUCGGUA